rnacentral:tRNA from 1 species
UGGCCGAGCGGUUAAGGCGAAAGAUUAGAAAUCUUUUGGGAUUUUCCCGCGCAGGUUCGAGUCC